rnacentral:rRNA from 1 species
UACGAAGGGGGCUAGCGUUGUUCGGAAUUACUGGGCGUAAAGCGCGCGUAGGCGGCUUUGUAAGUUAGAGGUGAAAGCCCGGAGCUCAACUCCGGAAUUGCCUUUAAGACUGCAUCGCUAGAAUCAUGGAGAGGUGAGUGGAAUUCCGAGUGUAGAGGUGAAAUUCGUAGAUAUUCGGAAGAACACCAGUGGCGAAGGCGACUCACUGGACAUGUAUUGACGCUGAGGUGCGAAAGCGUGGGGAGCAAACAGG